CAACAACGCAUGAUUGACAGGAUUUCAUUGAAUCCUCAGAAUAUCCCUGUGGGUAACAGCUCCAUAGUUGCAGGAGGAAGCUGGCUCAUAACAGAGAGAGAUUUCAGGUACAUUUCAUACAGCCGCCCUGCAAGAGAAGCAGUCUUCCACAGAGGAGAAACCCG
rnacentral:lncRNA from 1 species